UGAGGUGUGGCUCAGUGGCAGAGUGCUUGUCUAGCACGAGUGAAGCACUGGGUUUGAUCCUCAGCACCACAU
rnacentral:tRNA from 1 species